GACGAACGCUGGCGGCGUGCUUAACACAUGCAAGUCGAACGGAAAGGCCCUGCUUUUGUGGGGUGCUCGAGUGGCGAACGGGUGAGUAACACGUGAGUAACCUGCCCUUGACUUUGGGAUAACUUCAGGAAACUGGGGCUAAUACCGGAUAGGAGCUCCUGCUGCAUGGUGGGGGUUGGAAAGUUUCGGCGGUUGGGGAUGGACUCGCGGCUUAUCAGCUUGUUGGUGGGGUAGUGGCUUACCAAGGCUUUGACGGGUAGCCGGCCUGAGAGGGUGACCGGGCACAUUGGGACUGAGAUACGGCCCAGACUCCUACGGGGGGCAGCAGGGGGGAAUAUUGCACAAUGGGCGGAAGCCUGAUGCAGCAACGCCGCGUGCGGGAUGACGGCCUUCGGGUUUGAAACCGCUUUCGCCUGUGACGAAGCGUGAGUGACGGUAAUGGGUAAAGAAGCACCGGCUAACUACGUG
rnacentral:rRNA from 1 species